rnacentral:rRNA from 1 species
UACGUAGGGGUCGAGCGUUGUCCGGAGUUACUGGGCGUAAAGCGCAUGCAGGCGGCUCAUUACGCAUGGCGUGAAAGCCCCCGGCUCAACCGGGGAGGGUCGUCGUGAACGGGUGAGCUUGAGGGUAUCAGGGGUUGGUGGAAUUCCCGGUGUAGCGGUGGAAUGCGUAGAGAUCGGGAAGAACACCGGUGGCGAAGGCGGCCAACUGGGCUGGAUCUGACGCUGAGGCGCGAAAGCGUGGGGAGCAAACAGGAUUAGAUACCCGGGUAGUCCCUGAG